UAAGGGUUCUGAAAAACAGAAGCCACAGAACUGUCUGAAUUGCUUUUCUAAGAGUCACUUUGUCUUACAGACAUGGCGACAAAACCUUCACUCACCACUAAGAAGAGGUUGCUGUGAUACACUGUCACUGAAAAUGGGAAGUAAUUCUUUUUAUCAAGAAAAGCUUAUUCUUCAGUUCUGGGAUGCAUAGCUUGUUGUCUCUCUCAUGUUCAGUAAAUGCAGAUUUCUGGUAGAAGGUGUGGACACAGACCUGAAGGAUCCAAAAAGGAACAGCAAACCUGCUCCUGCAUCAAGUGAGAGGGAGCAAGUUCUGUGUUGGACAGCAUCUCCCCCCUUUACAGUGUACCUAUGAUAAAGGUGGGUUAGAAUUGCCUUUACUUUCAAAUCUCUCACAAAUUAAGCUGAAUCAAUAUGUUUUUCCACUGUGAGCAUUUGCCAGCCUCUGCAGCUGAGUUCUGCUCUGUAUUUUGCCCAUGGCUCCAUCUAUUACUUGAGAAAAGCUUCCUGGAAGAAGUUGGCACCCUUUAUUCCUUGUGAUUCCUGCUCAAAACUGGUAUCUCUGUGGCAUAGUAAUUAUUUUGGCAGUAAGCUGUGAGGGUGAUAGUGUCUGGCUGAGAAAUGUACCUAUUACUCCAUGUCUUCUACUCCUCAUCCCAACAUGCUUGUUUCUUCCCUCGUUUUUUAUUUCAUGCCUUCUGUGUGUGAACUUUCCUUCGGGAAGAGGAGAAAGAAGUGUUGUUAUUGUGUGGGUACAUUGUGUAGCACUGUAGAGUUCCCUUCAAUGAUCCCCAGCCGGUUUAUUAUUAACAUUGUAAACUACCAUCAUCCUUCUGCAAACCCCAGGAGAAGCAACUGGGGAAAAAAAUGACUUUGGAUUGAUGUGCAGCACAAAUGCAAAGCCCUAACUAACGAGUGCCACCUCCACUAAUUGUGGUGGAGAAGGCUGCGUGCAGGUGCUGCUUAGCACCCAGCAAUUACGCCACCUGCGUGUCUCAUCUAGAAGUGGUGUGGUUUUAUAUAAGCAGUAGAAAUUAUUAAUAGAGUUGCUUACUUGUAAGUGUAUUCUAUAACAGGUGUAAGGACUGCAAUGCUGGUGGUCAGGAUCUAUGCAGCGUGCCAUGGCUAAGGGUCUGUCCGACCCCAUACAGCUUGGGUUUCCCACCAGCUGAAGGAAUGUUAGAGUAUCCCUGCUACCCCCUUUUUCCUUCUCCUGUUAUCUCUAAUAAACAGUAUUUUAAGCAACACCUUAUGGAGUCCGAGAGCUUUUCUUGCUGGGAUCCGUAACGAACGCUUGACCGGUGCAUUACGCUAAUAUCACCCAUUAUGUAACAAUUAAAAACUGUAAAUUCUCAGGCUUG